rnacentral:sRNA from 1 species
UUAGAAAUUCCAUUAACCAUAUGAUAUGCUUAGCAGAAAUUGAAUAAAGAUUGUUACCUUCAUGUUAUUUUUUUUUUCUGGCUCUUAAAAUGUGCUUGGGAGACAGAACAAUAACUUAAAAUUACAGCUUAGUUGAACAUAAGGAAUUUUUAGUUUUUGCCUUUUAAUUUAUGGCAAAAAUGAUAGACGCCUAAUUCACACUGUUAAAUUUUAGAUGGUCUGUCUUCUGCUGAUCCCAACUCUGAUUGGAAUGCACCAGCAGAAGAGUGGGGCAAUUGGGUAGACGAAGAAAGAGCUUCACUUCUAAAGUCCCAGGAACCAAUUCCUGAUGAUCAAAAGGUCUCAGAUGAUGAUAAAGAAAAGGGAGAGGGAACUCUUCCAACUGGGAAAUCCAAAAAGAAAAAAAAGAAAAAGAAGAAGCAAGGUGAAGAUAACUCUCCUGCACAGGACACAGAAGAAUUAGAAAAAGAGAUUAGAGAAGAGCUU